rnacentral:rRNA from 1 species
GACGAACGCUGGCGGCGUGCUUAACACAUGCAAGUCGAGCGGUAAGGCCCUUUCGGGGGUACACGAGCGGCGAACGGGUGAGUAACACGUGGGUGACCUGCCCUUAGCUCUGGGAUAAGCCUGGGAAACUGGGUCUAAUACCGGAUAUGACUCCAUGACGCAUGUUGUGGGGUGGAAAGCCUUGUGCGGCUAGGGAUGGGCCCGCGGCCUAUCAGCUUGUUGGUGGGGUGAUGGCCUACCAAGGCGACGACGGGUAGCCGGCCUGAGAGGGCGACCGGCCACACUGGGACUGAGACACGGCCCAGACUCCUACGGGAGGCAGCAGUGGGGAAUCUUGCGCAAUGGGCGAAAGCCUGACGCAGCGACGUCGCGUGAGGGAU